UUUUGGCUUCAGGUCUGUCACCAGCACGAGCCUGACCCGGGAGUGCAUGGACCCAGCUGGAGGGACCAGCGGUGUCCUGCAGGAGACCACGCACGCUGGAUGUCUGCACCCUCCAGAAACUCAGGGGUCCCCAGCUCUGCGGGUGGCCCCUCUUAUCCCCUGACAUCCGGCCCUCCUGGGGGCAGGUGUGGUUCUGCUUCCACUCCGGCCGCAUCCUCCACUCUGAGGUUUUGCUCCACCACCAAUAAAACUUCACUGGCCAACACUGAAAAUCAAUGCGUGUUCUGGGCACAUGGAGGACCCAGGGGAGCAGUGCCCGCCUCUGACCUCUGGCAGCUCAUGGGGGGACAGGCAGCAAGCUGUGACUUGCUGUCACAGGCACGAUUGUUCGCGGAGUGAGAUAGGGGCAGCUGCACGCAGGAGUUAUUGAUGCUGCUGGGAAGGGCUGAGACUGGGGCCACCAGGGCCGAAGCUCUUUGGGGGCCUGGUCGCUGGUGGCCAUCCGUGAUUGUGAACUUCACCUGGGCGUGAAAAGACGGCCUCCUCUUUGCCAAGCCCCGAGGUAAGUACAGAGGUUACAGAAACAGAAGAGCCCGUCAGCAAAGGACCCAGACUACCAGGAGAGAAGCAGAAAGAAUCUCUGUGAGAUGUGGUCAGGGCGUCAUGGGGGCGUGAGCAAGGCUCAGGGUGCCCUGAGGGGGCUGCCCCGAGGGGCUCUGUCCUGGCUCCUCCCGAAGAGGGUGUCCCUUUCGGAAAGAACACUGAUCAUCCACCCCCCUGGCUUCCCGCAGCCCUGGAGCCUAUUCCUGUGCCCAAGUUAGAUGCUGAAGAAAUUUGUGUUAAAUAGGCACUUACCUAAUUCAGUUAAAAAUGAACGAUGCAGAGGGAGUUCCCAUUGUGUGGUUCAAUGGGUUAAGAAUCUGACCAGUAUCCAGGAGGAUGCAGCUUGACCCCGACCUCGCUCAAGGAUUAAGGAGUUGGCAUUUGCUACAAGCUGCAGCGUAGGUCGCAGAUGUGGCUCGGAUCUGGUGUCACUGUGGCUGUGGUGUAGGCCAGCAGCUGCAGCUCCAACUGGACCCCUAGCCUGGGAACUUCCAUAUGCUGCGGGUGCAGCCCUAAAAAGAAAAAAAGAAAAAGACAUGAACAGUGAGGGAGUUCCCACUGUGGAGCAGUUGGUUAAGAAUCCUACUGCAGAGGCUUGGGUCUCUGCGGAGUUGCAGGUUUGAUCCCUGGCUCCGUGCAGUGGGUUAAAGGUUUGAAGUUGCUGCCGCCACCGAGGCAUGGCUCAGAUUUAAUCCCUGGCCUGGGAACUUCCAUAGGCCAUGGGCACAGCCAUCAAACAAACAAACAAAAAACCCACAGAAGUGUGGGGAGAGAAUGUGUAUCUUUCCAGGUGAAUUUUGAUUCUUAGUUUUUAAGUAUCUCAGGCUUCUUAGAACAUAGAUUCUGCAAGUUGUAUUCUAAAGGAAUCAGCUUUAGAUUCGAGCCAUUGCUGGUUGCCUGUAAAAAAAGGGUGAUGAAAGAGAAUCAUUACAACAGGUUUGUUAGGUCAUAAAUAUUUUACGUGCUAGGCUUGGCAAGCUGUGGGCAGACGCUUGCCCUAAUAAGUAUUGAUUACAUUCUGGUCUGCAAUCAGGACACAUCACUGAUGGUUUAAAGACUGAGGCUCCCGUGCUGCCCAGGAAGACAGAAAUGAACUGGGGACCAACAUUAGAGAGUCUGCUCACCGUGUUUCCCAUCUCGAGGUUAAGCAGGGUUGCCACGUAAGUUAGAACAAGAAGUCCUGCAUUGACCAAUUUGCCCCAAGAUAGAGAGUCUCUGUGACCACACAGAGCAUGGAAUUCUGGAGCUGGAAGUUUCCUUGAGCUAAUCCAGGCUGGGUUUGUCCUAAGACAUGCACCAGUCUCUGAUACCCAACUUGUACUCAUCCAUUCAUGAAAGCUUCCACCGUCUGGUUGUACAGGGCAACAGAGGCUCUGAAUUCAGGAUUAGACCGUUCAGGCCAGGGGCUUUAGUAGGCCUCCCGGUCCUUCACAGAUGCUCACGGAGUCACUGCUGGGUGCAUCUUAGGAGCCCCACCUGUGAAAAUCAUUCCCUCAGCCCCUCGUAAGAUGUCAAUCCAGGAGGCUUCGUGACAAGCAAUGAAGUUGUGGGUCCAAGGAAAAUAUUCCUGCUUCUCGUUCUCCUUUAGGUUUGAGUUUCACAAGAACACAUUUUUGAGGAAGAAACCGGGCGAGAGACCACACAGCUCCACCAUCGUCGGAGUCCUUCCAAGCUGCCGCCUUGUGGCUGGGAGGCGCCUCCCGGUGCAGCCGCCGUGACAGGCACAGGGAAUCGGAUGGACCAGCCAGGUCGCCCCAUCUGGGCCAGGUGCCACCUGCCCGUGACCUCCUAGGUUACCGGGGGUCCCGGGCUCUCUGAAGGACAGUGCCACUUCUCCUCGGCCUCUGCAUGUGGCCAAGGCUGGAGGGGUAGAGAUGCCAAUUUCGCCGUAACGGUGGUCACUACCAUGGCCAUUUCCCGGUCAGACCUCAGGAAAAGCUUCCCUUACUCAGGAACCCAGUUUCCACAAACAGGCAAUUCAUCAUUUUGAAAACCGGCUCUUACACGGAGAUAUCCCAGCCCACUCACACAAAGAACAGAGAUAAUUAGCACCUUUUAGGUAAAAAUAACAAGAACAAGGAACACCCUAAGAAAAUGCUCCUUGGGCAUCUUAGAAUGAAUGGUGUGUGCCCAGGAGACCCUGGAAGCUGGGCACAUGGCCCCAGGCAGGCUGCCUUCCUCCAGCCCUGGGCAAGGGGUCCUCAGAGCAGAAAGAGAGGCUGUGUUCCCACCGGGGUCUGCGCACGCAUCCAAACUCGCUGAACCAUCAGAAGCCGGGAGGGACUUGAUCUCCUCCAGAUACCCCUGGGCAGACACUCAGCUGGCUUGAGGAACGAACACACGAAUUGUCAUCCUGCUUGGAAGAAUGUAAAGGCAUUUUGGGUUGGUCGACUUGGGCAGGUUACUGCAGGCCCUCGGCGGCGUCUGGAGACGGUGCUGCCAGGAGACACUGCUGAGCAGGUUUGGGGGAGGGUAGUGUUAUUAUUCCCUGUGGAAAUCUGAGCCCAGAGCCAGCUCCCUAAUCUGCAGGACCCAGAGCAAAUGAAAACGCAAGGCCCUUGUUCAAAAGCAUGAAGAAUGUCGAGGCAGCGCCCGAGUGGAACAUUAAACCAGCGCGGGACCUGUACUCGUUUCGUUUCGUUUCGUGUGGCCGCUGUAACAAAUGACCACAGACAAGCAGCUGAAAACAACAGCAAUCAAUCCUCUCAUGGCUCUGGAGGCCAGAAGUCUGGAGUCUGAGAUCGGGGCGGGAGCAGCAUCGGGUCCCGGCUUCGGGCGUUGGCUGGCCAUCC
rnacentral:lncRNA from 1 species